ACUUGGAUGAGUGAAGGUGUUGGUUGUCCGAGGUCCGGUGCGUGAGAGCCCAGGACGUGCGGUUGUUUUAUGAUCAGUUAAACAUAUAAAAGACUUUCACGUAUGAGUUAUUAACAGCCCGAUCAGUAACAAGGGAGAGGACAUUUUACACGCCAAGUGCACGUCGAAUUACAGAAGAAAGAAACUGAGAAUACUUGAGGUGGCGACAUCCCCUGCACCACAACAGCACUAGAGGUAAACGAGCUUUGACCAAACUUGGUGUAAGUGCGCCAGGUCAUGUUGCCUUAGGUUGGUAUAAAGGACACUUCGUUGCAGAGACCUCUUUGGAUUCGCUUAUUCACACACAUACAUAUACACUAUAAUCAUAUA